CUUCUAUCCAGAGCAGUCGAGGGAACGGCCCGACGACACUGCGGCAACCUGUAGCCGCCGCUCGCCCAUCACCGAGCAGGCCGCUGCGUGGUGCUAACUCCGCCUCGGGGCCCCCACCGCUAGGCACAGCGGCGAGCCCGGGGAAAGAUAGAAG
rfam:Meiothermus silvanus DSM 9946, complete genome.